CCUACGGGUGGCAGCAGUGAGGAAUAUUGGUCAAUGGACGCAAGUCUGAACCAGCCAUGCCGCGUGCAGGAAGACGGCUCUAUGAGUUGUAAACUGCUUUUGUACGAGGGUAAACGCAGAUACGCGUAUCUGUCUGAAAGUACCGUACGAAUAAGGAUAGGCUAACUCCGUGCCAGCAGCCGCGGUAAUACGGAGGAUUCAAGCGUUAUGCGGAUUUAUUGGGUUUACAGGGUGCGUAGGCGGUCGGCUAAGUUAGAGGUGAACUCCCGAGGCUCAACUUCGGAAUUGCCUCUGUUACUGUUCGGCUAGAGGGUAGUUGCGGUAGGCGGAAUGUCUUGUGUAGCGGU
rnacentral:rRNA from 1 species